rnacentral:rRNA from 1 species
GACGAACGCUGGCGGCGUGCCUAACACAUGCAAGUCGAACGGAGUGUUUAUUUAUAAACACUUAGUGGCGAACGGGUGAGUAACGCGUAGACAACCUACCCUCUAGAUGGGGACAACACCGCGAAAGUGGUGCUAAUACCGAAUGUUGUAAUGUUGUUGCAUAAUGAUAUUACUAAAGGUGGCCUCUAUAUAAAAGCUACCGCUAGAAGAUGGGUCUGCGUCUGAUUAGCUAGUUGGUGAGAUAACAGCUCACCAAGGCAAUGAUCAGUAGCCGGUCUGAGAGGAUGACCGGCCACACUGGGACUGAGACACGGCCCAGACUCCUACGGGAGGUAGCAGUGGGGAAUCUUCCGCAAUGGACGAGAGUCUGACGGAGCAACGCCGCGUGAGUGAAGAAGGUUUUCGGAUCGUAAAGCUCUGUCUUCAAGGACGAAUGUAGAUAUUGUGAAUAAUGAUAUUUAAUGACGGUACUUGAGGAGGAAGCCACGGCUAACUACGUGCCAGCCGCCGCGGUAAUAC